CAACACAUUAGAACAGUUCCAUCGAAAAGCUUGGCGAAUACAGAGAGUCGGUAAAAGUCAAUUACAAAAUGAAGUUCAUUAUGUUUUUUUUGGUUUAUGCCAUCAUAAGCUGUUUUGUCUCUUCAAUUUCCGCACAAUAUAGAAUAUAUGAUCAUGUGUGCAAGAAAAAUGUAGAUUCUUCCAGAGAAUGUAAUGAAUUCUGUAUGAUUGAGGAACAUUGUUUUCACGGUAGUUGUGUUGGAAGGAAUUGUCUCUGCCGCUGUGGAAAAAUGGACCCUAAUUAUCCUCGAAGAAGUUAUUAGAAUAGAUUAUGCGUGGCCAAAUGCUUGCAUGCGAUCAUUGCAAUGGAACUAACUGUCUGUGCUACUGUCCAGGGCUGGAUUAAUUUCUAUAUGUUGAACUAUUUUGUUCUGAUUAAUGUUUUCAUUGUUAAAAAUAAAACUUGCCCACAUUA